rnacentral:rRNA from 2 species
UUCGGAUGCUGACGAGUGGCGGACGGGUGAGUAACGCGUAGGAAUCUGCCCAUCUGUGGGGGAUACCAGUUGGAAACGACUGUUAAUACCGCAUAAUAUCUGCGGAUUAAAGGUGGCCUUUGCGCUGCCGCAGAUGGAUGAGCCUGCGUUGGAUUAGCUAGUUGGUGGGGUAAGGGCCUACCAAGGCUACGAUCCAUAGCUGAUUUGAGAGGAUGAUCAGCCACAUUGGGACUGAGACACGGCCCAAACUCCUACGGGAGGCAGCAGUGGGGAAUAUUGGACAAUGGGGGAAACCCUGAUCCAGCAAUGCCAUGUGUGUGAAGAAGGCUCUAGGGUUGUAAAGCACUUUAGUUGGGGAGGAAAGCCUGUGAGUUAAUAGCUUGCAGGAAGGACGUUGCCCAAAGAAUAAGGACCGGCUAACUCCGUGCCAGCAGCCGCGGUAAUACGGGGGGUCCGAGCGUUAAUCGGAAUUACUGGGCGUAAAGGGUCUGUAGGUGGUUUGUUAAGUCAGAUGUGAAAGCCCAGGGCUCAACCUUGGAACUGCAUUUGAUACUGACAAACUAGAGUAUGGUAGAGGAAUAGGGAACUUCUGGUGUAGCGGUGAAAUGCGUAGAGAUCAGAAGGAACACCAAUGGCGAAAGGCAACAUUCUGGACCAAUACUGACACUGAGGGACGAAAGCGUGGGGAUCAAACAGGAUUAGAUACCCUGGUAGUCCACGCUGUAAACGAUGAGUACUAGCUGUUGGAUUCGGUGUAAAGGAUCUAGUGGCGCAGCUAACGCGUUAAGUACUCCGCCUGGGGACUACGGCCGCAAGGCUAAAACUCAAAGGAAUUGACGGGGACCCGCACAAGCGGUGGAGCAUGUGGUUUAAUUCGAUGCAACGCGAAGAACCUUACCUGGUCUUGACAUCCUGCGAACUUUCUAGAGAUAGAUUGGUGCCUUCGGGAACGCAGUGACAGGUGCUGCACGGCUGUCGUCAGCUCGUGUUGUGAAAUGUUGGGUUAAGUCCCGCAACGAGCGCAACCCCUAUUGAUAGUUACCAUCAUUAAGUUGGGUACUCUAUUGAGACUGCCGCUGACAAGGCGGAGGAAGGUGGGGACGACGUCAAGUCAUCAUGGCCCUUACGACCAGGGCUACACACGUGCUACAAUGGGUAUUACAGAGGGCUGCGAAGGUGCGAGCUGGAGCGAAACUCAGAAAGGUACUCUUAGUCCGGAUUGCAGUCUGCAACUCGACUGCAUGAAGUCGGAAUCGCUAGUAAUCGCAGGUCAGAAUACUGCGGUGAAUACGUUCCCGGGUCUUGUACACACCGCCCGUCACACCAUGGGAGUGGGUUGCUCCAGAAGUAGAUAGCUUAACGAAUGGGCGUUUACCACGGAGUG